rnacentral:rRNA from 1 species
UAGUAGUCAUACUCUAGUCUCAAAGAUUAAGCCAUGCAUGUGUAAGUAUAAAUAGUUAACUUUGAAACUGCGAAUGGCUCAUUAUAUCAGUUAUAGUUUAUUUGAUGAAGAAUACUAAUUGGAUAACCGUAGUAAUUCUAGAGCUAAUACAUGUAUAAAGUCUUGUAGACUGCAUUUAUUAGAAUGAAAACCAUAGGUUUCGGCCUAUUCGUGAGUAAUAAUAACUAAUCAUAUCGUAUGCUUAUGUAACGAUGUGUCUUUCAAGUUUCUGCCCUAUCAGCUUUCGAUGGUAGUGUAUUGGACUACCAUGGCAGUAACGGGUAACGAAGAA